rnacentral:rRNA from 1 species
CCCUUAGAUGUCCGGGGCCGCACGCGCGCUACACUGAAGGAAUCAGCGUGGCUUUCUCCCUGACCCGAAAGGGUUGGGAAACCCGUUGAAUCUCCUUCGUGAUAGGGAUUGGGGCUUGAAAUUGUUCCCCAUGAACGAGGAAUUCCCAGUAAGCGCGAGUCAUAAGCUCGCGUUGAUUACGUCCCUGCCCUUUGUACACACCGCCCGUCGCUACUACCGAUUGAGUGAUCCGGUGAAUUAUUCGGACUGCAACGCGCUCAGUUCCUGGAUGCGAUUGCGGAAAGUUUUGUGAACCUUACCACUUAGAGGAAGGAGAAGUCGUAACA